UCCUCUCAUCUUCCACAAAGUUCCCAAUGCUUUUUGUUCUUGCAAGACAACUUAGCUUCUCCUCAUAUAAAAUGGCUAGCAAAUAGUCCUCCAAGCCAGAGAUCCAUGUGAUUGUGUCCAUCAUUACUCCUACUCUCACUAGGAACCAGCUCUAUGUUUCUGAACCUCAUUUACAAGAGGAAAAAGCAUUCAUUUGGAACCACAGGUACUGAUUUCUUCUACUAUUGCUGAGAUUACUCACGCUUUCUUUGGUCCUUUCCCUGGUAUGAACACCAACGUGAGUAGGGUUAGUGAAUUUUUCCCUAGUUACCAUGAGACAAAACCUUUAGCAGCCAUGAAAGAAACAUUAGAUUUUAGCUACAUGACUAGUCGUGUCUUUCGCUCUACCCCUUACACCAACCAGUCAAAUUAUAUUAACUAGUUGAAUAAGGUAGAGUCCCAAAAUGGCCAAUUUUGGAAGGAUCAAGGUCUCUUCGACUUGAUUCAAAUAUUUAAGGUAGGUCCAACAUAUAACCAAAACAUGAUAAUAGAUGCACUCUGCUUUUGGGAGGGUUCGACGAACACCUUCCAAUUGUGUUGUUGCAUGGUCACCCUAACACUUUUCGAUGUCGCUGCCAUCAUCAGUCUUAGACCAACGGGUGAAGUUUUUGACCCCUUCCUCGAUACGAAUGACAUCAUUGGGUUUAAUUUGAAAUGGGUAGCUUCUCCAAUUUCAUUAAUGAUCACUUCAGUGAAGCCGCCACUGUAGUUUCUAAUGAAGAGCAUGUGUCCUUCCUAUAUUUGUGGUUGACCCCCUUUAUCUUCAGCUCAAGCUCUCUACAAGUGGAGAAAUAUUAUGUCACUCUUUCUAAUCAACUUCAUGCUGGGAGGAAUGUUUGUCUUGGCUAAUUAAUUUUGGCCACCCUUUAUGAAUCUUUAAACUUAGCAUCCCAUGCCAUGAAGUCAUUCAGUCCGACUAAGAACUCCAAAGGUACCCUUCUACUGGUAGGCCCUUUCUGGCUUCUUCAACUCUGGUUAAAUGCCACAUUCGAGCCCUUCUUGACAUAUAACCAAAUUGAUCACCCUCCUGGACAACCUAAACAUUGGCCUAUUAAAGGACAUCGGUUAUCCCUUUUCACACCCGCUGAUGAAGGCCUUUCAACAUAAGAGAGCUCAAACAAUAUUACAUGAUGUUUGCAAAAAGAUAUAUUUUCACUGAAACCACGGCUUCUUUUGCGGAUAGACGCUAUGGUCCUGCAUGGUUCAGGAGAGAGUUUCUUUCUCGCAAUCCUGCUCAUCAAGUUGAAUCUGUCGAGAUCUGGAAAGUCUUCCUCACGCCAAGGCUGAUUUCGACUAGGACCUCUUCCAAUCUUGUGCCUCGAAAAUUUGGCCACUGUUAAUUCAAAUUCCAGCUACUACUUCUAACACAAAAAGGAAUUAUGUUUGAGUGCCAUCAGAAUAACCGAUGAGACAUACCUUGAACUUUUGGCUGAGACAGUUGAAGAUCAUUUGGAGCUUACCCCCUUCAAGUUUCAAAGUUCUUUUUAAUGCACCCAGGAAUUCGACGCCUGAUGGAAAGACUACUACACCAUCAAGUUUGUCAACGUGAUGACCAAAUCAAUUCAUCUAACCACAACUUUCCUUCUUUUGCAGACAAAAGUUAAAAAAGGUACAAGAACACAUAUUAAAGAAAUCUACGCUUUCUAAUGUUACUUCGAGACUGUGUAUGAUCCUCGUAACCUUCGUCAAACCAUCUCUGAGGUAAUAACCACUUGGAAAGAAAAGCUUCUCGAAAAACAAUCGCGUCAAAGAUUCCUUCAUAUGUGGAGGAUAAGUAUCUUUUUGCUUUGUUUUACCACAAGCUAAAAUUUCCAACUUUGCCUUCAUGUGAAAUGUCCUUGGCAUCGCCCCCAUUUCCAAAAUGAUUCAUCUAUUUAAGUUCUAUGAAUGACUUUAAAAAACUCAUGUAAAAAACCUGCCCAGAGAGUGGUUCUGACCAAGUUUGACAUACAAAACUAUCGAGGAUACCUUCAUGUCGACAUCAAUCAUAUCGAAGUUCUUUGUGAGACUGCUGAUGGUGAGACAUCAAGGUUCGUUGGAUUGUAACUUAUUUCUCUUCAAGUCUUUCUUCUUAAUCCCUUUGUUCCUUAUGCAACCAAUCCCGUAAAAAAGAACCCUAAGGACACUACAGUCGGUAGCCAAGCUGGUCUGACAUCACAAGUAAUGUCAAGCUCACUUAUUAUCUCUUCACAUGAUAAAAAAUCAAUGCAAGUUAUAUAUUUCCUUUUCACAAGGUCAGAAGAAAGAGACCACUUAGACUACUGCUGCCCCCCAAAGGAAGGCAAAAUAGAAAAUGGGUGUUAUUGUCGAAGAAGAGGGUCGGAAGCUUGCAGCCACUACAGUUUUUUCCCUACCACCAAACAAGACUAAAAAGGAGGCACUUACUGAAGUGCCAAAGAACCCCUAGGUUUGAAAACGCAUUCUAUGAUCUUCCUUUAAAUAUGGCUCGUCUAAAAUGAUACUCGACUAACUUUAAUCCUCCUAUCAACAAACUCCAAUCAUGGAAGAAGAAAGUGGUGUUAUGUCGCCUUUGAGAACCAAUUCACCAUGAACUCCUACACCCAACCUCCUUCUGUUGUCAAAAUCGAAACCAGACCAGCUGAGAAUAAGAAGAGAAAACUAAAAAAGGCCUUCUCUGCGAGUUUUCGCACUGUUUCCAAGCCAAAAGUUCAAUAUAAGGGAAUUGUUCCUAUCAAAGGAGAUAAUGUCGAAGUUUAACCAACGUUCUCCCUUUUCCAAUGCAGAAUGUUUCCUUAGAGAAGCAAUCUUUUGAUGACUCUUUUGUUCGAACCAUGCGAGAUCCUCUAGUUGACAAGGAUCCUAAGACUUCCACUGUGUAUGGCUUCGACUGGAAUACACCUCCCAAUUCAUUCGUGAAUUUGACUAUGACUGGGGAGCACGACCCCGAGGCCAAGAAAGGCGGUCAAGUUGAUGUGGUGGUCGAAUAUGGUGAUCACCUGGAUGACUCUGUGCCUGACAAUAGUCAUGUACCAUCCCCUGAAGAUGAUGAUUUCGAGAAUCUUGAGGACAACUAAGAUUCCAUCGAAGGUCUUACUGUCGCAUCUCGAAAAAUAAGAUCCUUCGCAGUUGUCGCGAAAAAAAAAAUUCGAAAAGAGUAGCCACCGAACUUUAUUUAUUUCAAAAGAGGAAGGGAAAAUAUUGAUAAAACCCCUUAAAAAUUAAAUGGUCGUCGCAACCAAAUUUUGUGUCGGGAGUCGAUUACACAAGGAAAAGGUAUUAGCAUCCCUCACGCUCGUUGUACUCAACAGGAACCUUAUAGUUAAACUUGCGAUUGAAUGUUAGCUUAUGUUAUUUGUUUUCUUCAAGUUAUUGAAAGUGUAAGAGGAAAAGAAAAGGGUUUGCAAAAAUGUUUUUAUUAGGGUGUUCAACAUGAGUGUAGGUCUCGCUCCUACGUAUCCUCGUGUUAAAUGAGGACCUCAAAGAUUUGUAGUUCGGGGUGUUACGUUUUUUUUGUUUUUUUUUUAUGAGCAAGUACUUAGAUCGUGUUCUAAGGGUUAAACAUUGGCUUGCAUGCUCGCGGGGGAGACUUAAGCGCUAGUUUGUAUAUGCGUUAUAAAGGA